AUGCUCGCUUCAGCAGCACAUAUACUAAAAUUGGAACGAUACAGAAAAGAUUAACAUGGCUCCUGCACGAAGAUGACACACAAGUUUGUGAAACGCUCCGUAUUAAA